rnacentral:rRNA from 1 species
UACGUAGGGUGCAAGCGUUGUCCGGAAUUAUUGGGCGUAAAGAGCUCGUAGGCGGUCUGUCGCGUCGGCUGUGAAAACCUGAGGCUCAACCUCGGGCCUGCAGUCGAUACGGGCAGACUAGAGUUCGGUAGGGGAGACUGGAAUUCCUGGUGUAGCGGUGGAAUGCGCAGAUAUCAGGAGGAACACCGGUGGCGAAGGCGGUGGCUGGGCCGGAACUGACGCUGAGGAGCGAAGCGUGGGGAGCGAACAGG